AUUGAACGCUGGCGGCAGGCCUAACACAUGCAAGUCGAGCGAGCGGCGGACGGGUGAGUAAUGUCUGGGAAACUGCCUGAUGGAGAGGGAUAACUACUGGAAACGGUAGCUAAUACCGCAUACCAUGCGAUGUGCGCAGGUGGGAUUGGCUAGUAGUUGGGGUAACGGCUCACCUAGGCGACGAUCCCUAGCUGGUCUGAGAGGAUGACCAGCCACACUGGAACUGAGACACGGCCCAGACUCCUACGGGAGGCAGCAGUGGGGAAUAUUGCGCAAGGGGCGAAAGCCUGAUGCAGCCAGGCCGCGUGAGGGAAGAAGGCCUUCGGGUGGUAAAGCACUUUCAGCAGGGAGGCGUUACCCAACGAAAAAGCACCGGCUAACUCCGUGCCAGCAGCCGCGGUAAUAC
rnacentral:rRNA from 1 species